CUCCUCACUCGGUCUCCCGAACUCUCUUCUCACUGAACUCUCUCUUCUCACUCCGUCUCCCUCAUCCUCUCACGCAGGUGAAUCACCCUCUCGCUCAUAUCGUCCUCUCUCUCCCUUUCCCUCACUCGGUCUUUCUCUCCCCAAACAUGAACCCUCCCUCUUUCUUUCCCUCUUUAUUUCUGAGUUGUGAUAAAUCUGAACCCUCCCUCCUUCUUUCCCCUUCUUUCGAACCCAAUCUUGAACCCUCUUUUCCCCGUAGACCCCAAAUCUCCCUUUCUUUCGUUCCCUCCUUCUUUCCCCUUCUUUCGAACCCAAUCUUGAACCUUUCCCUGCAGACCCAAAAUCUCCCUCUCUUUCUUUCCCUCUUUCUUUCCCUUGAUUUACUGAAACAAAAGUAGGAAGGAGAAACUGUUUGAUCAUCAAUGACUGGUUUUGUUAGAACGAGAUCGAAACGGGUCACUUACCCGCUCGACGACCGGGUGAAAGAUAGACUCGUAGGAGGAUACAGCUCCGGACCUAGUGACGCCAGCAAAGGAAGCGAGCACUCCGGCGACUACGACUCCCCCUGCCUCUCCAAGCUCGUCUGCGACUGGGUUUCACGACAACGAGUCCGACUCAGAACGAGUCGAAUCGGGUAUUGGGCCGUGGAAUGGACUUUUUAGUUUCUUCUUUUUCUUCUGUAGGUGUAUGGGUAAGGAAGGGACUAAUUAGGAACAAAGAGUGGGGUUAGGAGGCUCAGAGGAUUGGCAUGAUCAACACACUGCAAGAAAUGUGUAAUGCUCCACUUGGCAUGAUCAAAGUUAAGUGAAACAGAUAAUUCAUUGGACACUCAAGUACCAUUCCUCCCUUUGGUUGAGGUUUCAGUGAAGGCUUUACUUGUCAUAUCAUUAGUAGCUUUACCUGCAGCUCCAAGUGCCGCAACACGAGUUUUGUUCUGUGCUCAUCAUCCAUACUUGGUUGGAACUGCAAAGAGAGACGCAGUUUGGAAGAGGCAACGAAGAUGUAUGCAUGCAUGUGGUUUGGAUCUCUUUCCAGAUAAGUUCUGAGAUUGUUCUCUCGUCGUUUGCUUGUAUUGAGUUUGGGCAUUAGUGAACCUAUUUCUCUUUGUAUGAGAGUCAAAUUUCUUAAUGCAUGUUCAAUCGUUGCCGAGGAUGGUUAUCAUGGAUGAGAAUGGGAAGCAGGGAAGGUGCGGGUUCGUGAGACGGGUGCCUCCUUUUCCAGAUCGACCACAGGAGAGGUCAAUGCCUUGAAGGAGGAAGUGACAACCCUAAAAGGUCAACUUGCAGCCCAGGGCGAGCAAAUGAGUAUUAUUGUACGGGCCUUACAGAUUUCCGGCCUCUAAAUCCCGAUGCCAGCACCUAAUCUUGCUCCACCUUCGACCUCCCAGCCACUUCGCCCAGCCGAUACAUAGUAGUCUGAUGUAUCAAACAUAGAAGACUACUUGUUGUAGUUUUUUCUUUUUUGUUCGAACAUCUUGUAUGUACAUUUUCAUAUAUUUUAUAAUUAAAUACUUUUUUUUGUUUA